CAGCCAUGCCGCGUGUGUGAAGAAGGCCUUCGGGUUGUAAAGCACUUUCAGCGAGGAGGAAAGGUCAGUAAGUAAUAUUUGCUGGCUGUGACGUUACUCGCAGAAAGAAGCACCGGCUAAUUUAGUGCCAGCAGCCGCGGUAAUACUAAAGGUGCAAGCGUUAAUCGGAAUUACUGGGCGUAAAGCGCGCGUAGGUGGUUUGUUAAGUUGGAUGUGAAAGCCCAGGGCUCAACCUUGGAACUGCAUUCAAAACUGACUCACUAGAGUACGAGAGAGGUUAGUGGAAUUUCCUGUGUAGCGGUGAAAUGCGUAGAGAUGGGAAGGGACA
rnacentral:rRNA from 1 species